rnacentral:rRNA from 1 species
CCUACGGGAGGCAGCAGUGGGGAAUAUUGCACAAUGGGGGAAACCCUGAUGCAGCGACGCCGCGUGAGGGAAGAAGUAUUUCGGUAUGUAAAGCUCUAUCAGCAAGGAAGAAAAUAACGGUCCCUGAUUAAGAAGCCCCGACUAACUACGUGCAAGCAGCCGCGGUAAUACGUAGGGGGCAAGCGGUAUCCGGAUUUACGGGGUGUAAAGGGAGCGUAGACGGCAGCACAAGUCUGAAGUGAAAUGCCGGGGCUUAACCCCGGAACUGCUUUGGAGACUGUGCAGCUAGAGUGCAGGAGAGGUAAGUGGAAUUCCUAGUGUAGCGGUGAAAGGCGUAGAUAUUAGGAGGAACACCAGUGGCGAAGGCGGCUUACUGGACUGUAACUGACGUUGAGGCGCGAAAGCGUGGGGAGCAAACAGGAUUAGAUACCCUUGUAGUU